AGCGACCAGUCUGUAAACAUCUGGAACGUUCUGUGUGAUUUUUCCUCCUGUACAACAGAGAACCGCUUCACCACAGCAAAGUCUGGUGACAUUCAGCACAGCACGCAACUUGAAACCUGGUGUUGGAGCGUGACUCCGUCAAACCCCUGGCGAGGGAGGCGGGUUUUGGGAGCAGCCACAGAUGGCCGGUGCCAAACCACCAGUCCUCUCAAGUCCUGCACACAACUUUCUCUCUCAGCUUCAACUCCCAUUUUUUUACAGCACAAGGAAGCUGGUGGUUCAUCCUCAUGGGAUCAUUGACAUACCCUUUUUGUGGAGGUGACCUAAACAUCAACAUGUUCAUGGAGGACCACGCGACCCGUGCAAUGGACGUCAAGUGGAUCUAGCAUUAUAGUGAGAGUCCAGUCCAUAGUGGAUCUAACAUAAUAGUGUGAGAGUCCAGUCCAUAGUGGAUCCAACAUAAUAGUGAGAGUCCAGUCCAUAGUGGAUCUAACAUAAUAGUGUGAGAGUCCAGUCCAUAGUGGAUCUAACAUAAUAGUGAGAGUCCAGUCCAUAGUGGAUCUAACAUAAUAGUGAGAGUCCAGUCCAUAGUGGAUCUAACAUAAUAGUGAGAGUC